CUGAGAUGCACCUCACAAAGUCAUGGAGCUGAAAUGUAUUGAUCCAAGUGGAUAAAAACAUGCCUGAAGACAUUUUUCCGUAUUUACAAUUAGGAACUCUUCAUUUCAACACCUCGAGACAUGAGGCCGUGGAGAGUGUAGGAAUCAAAAAGAAUAAAUAUUUGAAAAAGCAACCAGUAAACAGACAGGGAUUUAGACUAAUGAUCUAAACAGAAAAUAAUGUCAUGGGUUCAGAGCUGCACAGACUAAUCCUCUGGUGAUAAAUCUUAACUGCAAGGCUUUAUAAACUUCUCCUGACUUGUGGGUGAACUUCAGGAUGGAAACAAGAGGAGCUAGUUGCCCUUGGAAAUCUGCUGGUGAUGUAGAGGGAAAAAAGGAAGCUGGAAAAAAGGAGGAAAGACUGGCUAAGCGCCUGAAGACUGCUGCCCAGCUGGUUUUUGAAUCAAGACAGGUCAGCUGUCAGAUGCAAAGAAGCGAGUCCAGCACCGUUACCCAGCAGUUGCUGCCUGCUCAGUGCAAGAGCCUCUGGAAAGCAACAUCCUGAAGAGCUGAUCACAUCCAAUCCCAAGAGGAUCAGAAUUUGCCAUGUUAAGGCCAGCCUCUUGGUGACUGCCAAUGAGCGGAUCUCAUCACAGCUGAAAAUUCAGGAACAUGUGCAAAGAAGCCACCCAAAUGGACAAGAAAUUUGAAUAUUCUCUCUCCUGGCUUUUUCCUUUAGAAUGAGAAGACUG
rnacentral:lncRNA from 1 species